GUGACGGCAUUUCCUGGCUCUGAGAGGACCUCAGUGUGCCACAAGAUAACUGCUGUUUCCUGCUCUGGCACACCCAGCACUAUCCACAGUGGCUCCAUGGUUACACUGGUUUGUGGGAGAGAAUCAAUGUGCACCAAAAGACACAAAUGGAGGAAUGAGCCUGCCACUACCAAAGACACUGGAUGGGGAUAGAGGACUAUCACUCCCCCGUUCUCCCAGAAAUCAAUCCAUCAGCAGGUUCCUCAGUUCCACUGAUAAUGGUUAAGAAUCGCCUCCAUCUCUUCAUCUGCACCCACUAAAGUGCUGG